rnacentral:rRNA from 1 species
ACGGGAGGCAGCAGUGGGGAAUAUUGCACAAUGGGGGAAACCCUGAUGCAGCGACGCCGCGUGAGUGAAGAAGUAUUUCGGUAUGUAAAGCUCUAUCAGCAAGGAAGAAAAUGACGGUACUUGACUAAGAAGCCCCGGCUAAAUACGUGCCAGCAGCCGCGGUAAUACGUAUGGAGCAAGCGUUAUCCGGAUUUACUGGGUGUAAAGGGAGCGUAGACGGAGAUGCAAGCAGUCUGUACAAUACCGGGGCCCAACCCCGGACCUGCAGACUGGACUGUUUCUCUUGGAUAGUUCAGGGGCAAGCGGAAUUCCUGGUGUAGCGGUGGAAUGCGUAGAGAUCAGGAAGAACACCGAUGGCGAAGGCAGCUUGCUGGGGACUUAUCGACGCUCAUGCUCGAAAGUGCGGGUAGCAAACAGGAUUAGAUACCCUGGUA